GAGUUGUUAGCGUUGUGGAGUUGCGUGAGUUACUAGCGUAGCUGAGAGAUUGAGUUGUUAGCGUUGUGGAGUUGCGUGAUUGUUAGAGUUGUGGAGUUGCGUGAGUUACUAGCGUAGCUGAGAGAUUGAGUUGUUAGCGUUGUCGAGUUGCGAGAGCUGUUAGCGUUGUGGAGUUGCGUGAGUUACUAGCGUAGCUGAGAGAUUGAGUCGUUAGCGUUGUCGAGUUGCGAGAGUUGUUAGCGUUGUGGAGUUGCGUGAGUUACUAGCGUAGCUGAGAGAUUGAGUUGUUAGCGUUGUCAAGCUGCGAGAGUUGUUAGCGUUGUGGAGUUGCGUG
rnacentral:misc_RNA from 1 species